UUUGAACACCGGUUCCCGCACGAUCAUCGAAGUUAAGCAACGUCGAGCCUGGUCAGUAACUAGAUGGAUGUCCGUUUGGGAAUACCAGGUGCUGUAAG